rnacentral:snRNA from 1 species
GUGCUCGCUUCGGCAGCACAUACACUAAAACUGGAAUGAUACAGAGAAAAGUAGCAUGGCCCCUGUGCAAGGAUGACACGAAAAUUCGUAAAGUGUUCCAUAUUUUU